AUUGAACGCUGGCGGCAUGCCUUACACAUGCCAGUCGAACGGUAACGGGCCUUCGGGUGCCGACGAGUGGCGAACGGGUGAGUAAUACAUCGGAACGUGCCCGAUCGUGGGGGAUAACGAGGCGAAAGCUUUGCUAAUACCGCAUACGAUCUACGGAUGAAAGCAGGGGACCGCAAGGCCUUGCGCGGGCGGAGCGGCCGAUGGCAGAUUAGGUAGUUGGUGGGAUAAAAGCUUACCAAGCCGACGAUCUGUAGCUGGUCUGAGAGGAUGAUCAGCCACACUGGGACUGAGACACGGCCCAGACUCCUACGGGAGGCAGCAGUGGGGAAUUUUGGACAAUGGGCGCAAGCCUGAUCCAGCCAUGCCGCGUGCAGGAUGAAGGCCUUCGGGUUGUAAACUGCUUUUGUACGGAACGAAAAGCCUUCUUUUAAUACAGGAGGGUCAUGACGGUACCGUAAGAAUAAGCACCGGCUAACUACGUG
rnacentral:rRNA from 1 species